UGACGGUAUCAUAUGAAUAAGCACCGGCUAACUCCGUGCCAGCAGCCGCGGUAAUACGGGGGGUGCAAGCGUUACUCGGAAUCACUGGGCGUAAAGAGCAUGUAGGCGGGUGAAUAAGUUGGAAGUGAAAUCCUAUAGCUUAACUAUAGAAUUGCUUCCAAAACUGUUCACCUAGAGUAUGGGAGAGGUAGAUGGAAUUUCUGGUGUAGGGGUAAAAUCCGUAGAGAUCAGAAGGAAUACCGAUUGCGAAGGCGAUCUACUGGAACAUUACUGACGCUCAGAUGCGAAAGCGUGGGGAGCAAACAGGAUUAGAUACCCUGGUAGUCCACGCCCUAAACGAUGUACACUAGUUGUUGCUAUACUAGAUAUGGCAGUAAUGCAGUUAACACUUUAAGUGUACCGCCUGGGGAGUACGGUCGCAAGAUUAAAACUCAAAGGAAUAGACGGGGACCCGCACAAGCGGUGGAGCAUGUGGUUUAAUUCGACGAUACGCGAAAAACCUUACCUGGCCUUGACAUAGUAGGAAUCUUUAAGAGAUUAGAGAGUGCUAGCUUGCUAGAACCUACAUACAGGUGCUGCACGGCUGUCGUCAGC
rnacentral:rRNA from 1 species